ensembl:lncRNA
AAAACCCUCAGUGCCACGAUAUAUCAGACAGUGUGGGGCCUGAAUUUUAGCCCAAACAUUCCCACCGUAAAUCAUCAUGGCACAAGAGCUGGAGCUUUCCAACUACACCACUAUAUAUGAGUUAGAAGGAACUGAAAAAAACAGUGGUGAUGCUGAAAGAUCAGAGAGACGACUCCUCAGGAUUUGGAUUCUAACCUUAGGAGUGUUGUGUAUAACACAAGCAGCUCUUAAUAUCUCCCUGCGCCUUACCAUGUAUUCAAAAGAUUAUACAGAUCCAUAUCUUUUCAACUCUUCCACAAUAGCAGACUGGUGCCAGCAUGAGCAGUCUCUACAGAAUUCAACUCAGUUAUGCUCCAGCUGCAACAACUUGCUGAGGAAACUAUUGAAGGAAUAUGAAGCCAUGAAAUCAGAGAUAGCUUACUCACAGGACAACUGUAUUCAACAGACUGAUGAUGAUUAUUCUUUCCAGGACCAUGGGUCUGGUUCACUGGAGGAAUUUUAACCACAUAUAUGCACUCGGAACAAGAGUAUAGGGCUUCAGCAUGCAACAGCAAUAUGUACUGUACACUGCUGGGUUUGCUGUUUCACAUUAGAUCAGCUAGAAGGACAGUACGACAGCAGUCAGUUUCUUUGCCACUUGCUCUCAUCAAAUGUGGCACAGUGUGUUUACAGGCACUGGUUAAUGUGAAUUAAAAUGCUGUAUAUUAUCAUAUUGACAGAUAAUUGACAGCUAAUUUUAACCUGUCUGACUGAAGGCAAAUUCAGCCUUUAUAUCAGCUGUGUACUGGGGAGAAUGAUUGGGGCUUGAAGUUGGGGGUUGGACAUAUAUAUCUAUAAAUAUGUGUAUUUAUAUAUUUGUUAUUUAUGGUGAGCCACAGCAUUAACUGGUGUACAGCACCUCCAUGGCGACAGAUUCAACUAGGAAGUAGCUGCUGAACAUGGCAUCCAGUCUAUAGUCAUUUCCCACAAGAGUUGGUGGAGACCAGACUAAAGUGAUGGUGAAUAAUGAAAUUAUAUUCAUGCAUAAAUAAGCAUCUAACUGCUAAUAUGCUUAAUGUUAAUUGGCUGCACUAAGGUGCCCCAAAAAAAAUCUGAUUGCAGGCAGUCCAGACAUUUGAUCAUACUGUUGUGAAUAUUUUAUGUAUUUAAAUAAUAGCAAAGCAUGAAGGUGAUUUUUUUCUGUAUCAGCAUGUAAAUAACUUCAUGAUAUAUGUACUGACACAGCUGUCUUUACCACAGCAAGAGGAUGUGAAACAUCCUGGACAUGAUAUUUUUUGGUAGUUUUAACUGGACUCACAUCUUCUUAAGAACUGUCUAGUCAGUUUCUUCUGGUUAACAGACCUUUAUGUAAUUUAACAACAGUGUCAGUUGCACAACAUAUUGUAGAAACAGUGUAUUAGUAUCACAAAUGCAAUAUAUAAAGAAUCUAAUUAACCUCUGUGGGUCUGAUGGGUCUGUGAUCGCUCUAAAUCGAGUGAGGUAGACUAAAUGUGGAGGUUAGACCCAUGAUAGUCUCUAUAGAUCACAAACUUCCCAACACGGUUAAUGGGACCCAGAAGCUUUCAUGUCAAAAAAGGAUUCUUGGACUUAUUUAGCAUGUUCUCUGUUCUGGUUGUUUAAGCUUUAUGUGUGAGAAUAAAUGAGCAGUAUAAGAAAAAUCGGGAUUUCAUGUUUUAAAUCUGAGGUUUUUAGUCCAUGAAAUAUGGUUCAACUCUCUACUUAUACGUCAUCAUUGUAUGUAUGUUUUCACUCUGAAGCACAAACAUUCAAAGACCAUGUUUCUGAGCCAAUUAAUUCAAAUUUUUAUAGAAACUUUCUCGAGAUCACAGUCUUUCUUUGCUGAAAAGCUUGUCAAAGGUAAACGGGCAGAAAUGAGAGCUGCAGCACAGUCACUCAUCAUUUCUCAUUAACACUGCUAGCUUUGUUAUAAUUAACCAUUGUGACUGACACCUGUGUUCCUGUGACACUGUGUUUCAGACUUUUAUUAUCCUCCUUCCCAGCUGUUGCUUGUCAAUCAUCCCAAAGUUGUGUCUUGUCUCUAUCUCUCAAAAUAGACCCGCAUGUGAAAAGCUGCCUUUGGUGUUUAGUGGCCCUCACUGACAGCAAGUGAGCAAUGUUUGAUUUCCUUGUUUUUUUUUUUUGUUUUUUUUUAGUUUUUGCAUUGAUGGAUUGAACAUUUUGUCUUUAUGUACUGGCAUUUAUUUUGGUUGAAACAAUGGUAAAGUUUGUACAGUAUUUCAAAUAAACAAUUCUAAGACUAAGCCUUUAACCAAACCUAUGUGCAGGAAAGAGCAGUCGCCUUCAGUGAAGUGGUACUAAAAACAACAAACCUGUGACAAUGCUCCUCAAACAGCAGGAAACACAACACUAAAAACAAUUCAGUGCAAAAGCAAAAAUAUACAUUUUUUUGUAAGUUGUAAAUUUCAAUACUGUAAGUCCCACAUUGGAUUUCUAUCUACAAAUUAAUUGAAAUAAUUUGACUAUUUUACAAUGACUCAUUCAUCUUAUUUCUUUUGUGCUUCAACUGUUUCUGUGCAUGUUUCCUAAGUUUGAUGUGUGAGCAGAAAGAGUCACUGUGGUGUGACGUUUGGUAGCUUGUUCCAGUAAACAACACAAAUGUGGUUGAAAUGCAUAGUUUUACAAUUAAUGUGGUGUCAAAAGUAUGACACACAGAAUGUUUGUGUACAGGUACUUUCUUUGUAAAUGUUUACCAUUAGUAUCCUUCUGUAACUAUACAACAUCUGUAUAUGCCAACUAAAGCAUGACUAAGGUAUGGUUACUGUUGUGCAUC